GACGAACGCUGGCGGCGUGCUUAACACAUGCAAGUCGAACGGUGAAGGGGCCUGCUUUUGUGGGCCCUGGAUGAGUGGCGAACGGGUGAGUAACACGUGAGUAACCUGCCCCCUUCUUCUGGAUAACCGCAUGAAAGUGUGGCUAAUACGGGAUAUUCUGGGUCUGUCGCAUGAUGGGUCUGGGAAAGAUUGCGCCUUUGGGUGUUUUUGGUGGGGGAUGGGCUCGCGGCCUAUCAGCUUGUUGGUGGGGUGAUGGCCUACCAAGGCGGUGACGGGUAGCCGGCCUGAGGGGGUGGACGGUCACACUGGGACUGAGACACGGCCCAGACUCCUACGGGAGGCAGCAGUGGGGAAUAUUGCACAAUGGGCGCAAGCCUGAUGCAGCGACGCCGCGUGAGGGAUGGAGGCCUUCGGGUUGUAAACCUCUUUCGCCAGUGAAGCAGGCCUGCUCCGUGUGGGUGGGUUGACGGUAGCUGGAUAAGAAGCGCCGGCUAACUACGUG
rnacentral:rRNA from 1 species